rnacentral:misc_RNA from 1 species
AUGUCUUUGCACUUCCGGUUUUUGACGAUAGACUGAUGGAGCAUGUCGAAUGAUUUAAAUUAGGAUGUAGAGGUGGAUAGAAGAGGAAUGUUGCAAGGGAGACUACUCUCUUGUGUGCGACUGAAACCACACCAGGGGGCGCUUCUUCUUCAUCUCUAGGUUUCUGAAGAUAAUUUGUAGUGUGACAAUGUUGUUGGAGUUCUGAUGUACAAACUAACCAUACCUCCCAUGUUGUAAACUUACUAGUACAAGUUAUCUAACUCUUUUUUUUUCAGUGAAAAAAAAUUUCAGACAAAUUUGAUUGACAUUUAUUCAUUGAUUCAAGGGCCAUGAAUGAGCCUUCAUAGAAUUGUUGUGAUUUCAAUAACUUAUAUUACUGAAUCUGGGCAGGUUUCUGUUUGCCCCGCUGGUCUAAUACACUUGAGUUUUAAAUUUGAAUGCAACUACGUCAAUCUUGGCCUAAUAAGAAUAUUGAUGAAAGAUAAAUUUGUAUA